GCCGUCGCUCAACGGAUAAAAGGUACGCCGGGGAUAACAGGCUUAUCGCCCCCGAUAGUUCACAUAGACGGGGCGGUUUGGCACCUCGAUGUCGGCUCAUCGCAUCCUGGGGCCGGAGAAGGUCCCAAGGGUCGGGCUGUUCGCCCGUUAAAGCGGUACGCGAGCUGGGUUUAGAACGUCGUGAGACAGUUCGGUCUGUAUCCGCCGUGGGCGUUGGAGAUUUGAGGAGAGCCGCUCCUAGUACGAGAGGACCGGAGUGGAGUGACCGCUGGUGUACCUGUUGUCCCGCCAGGGGCAUCGCAGGGUAGCUAUGUCGCGAAGGGAUAACCGCUGAAAGCAUCUAAGUGGGAAGCCUACUUCAAGAUGAGAUCUCCCGCACCGCAAGGUGCCUGAAGGACCGCAGGAGACGACUGCGUAGAUAGGCGGCAGGUGUAAGGCGUGCGAGCGUCUCAGCCGAGCCGUACUAAUCGUCCGUGAGGCUUGAUCCA
rnacentral:rRNA from 1 species